rnacentral:rRNA from 1 species
CAGUAGCCGCGGUAAUGCGUAGGGUGCGAGCGUUAAUCGGAAUUACUGGGCGUAAAGCGAGCGCAGACGGUUAUUUAAGCAGGAUGUGAAAUCCCCGGGCUUAACCUGGGAACUGCGUUCUGAGCUGGAUAGCUAGAGUGUGUCAGAGGGGGGUAGAAUUCCACGUGUAGCAGUGAAAUGCGUAGAGAUGUGGAGGAAUACCGAUGGCGAAGGCAGCCCCCUGGGAUAACACUGACGUUCAUGCUCGAGAGCGUGGGUAGCAAACAGGAUUAGAUACCCCCGUAGUCCCUGUCUCUUAUCC